GAUCGCGCCCUCCCUCCCAGAUCCCUCCCUCUCUCGCGCACCUCCCUCUCCCUUCUACAACUGCCGCAUCCCCCCAACGCAUCGCCCCACAAAUCACGCCGCCGUCGCCACCCCUUCCUUUCCAAUAGCAUUCCCUUUGCCUCGCCAUCCUGCUGCUCGUGCCCCUCCGCCCAUCACACUGAUCCGCACCGGAGUCGCAGUCGCCACCCCCGAGCCUCUGCCCAUCGCAUCGAUCCCCGCCGUCCCUCCACCCAUUGCACCUAUCCGUGCCGCCACCGAUGACGAUCUCGUCCGCACCGCCCCUCCGCCCAUCGCACCGAUCCGCGCUGCCAGGCCAGUUUGCCCUCGCCGCCCCCGAUGUACGCCAGGGCGCCCGCCUCCACGCCCCCAUAUCACCGUCGGCCGGAGUCGCCGGGCUCGUCCUCACCAAGCCGAUCCCCUCCGCCACCGAUAGAAGGUACAAAAAUCCUCCUCCCCUACCAGAUGAUUUGUCUUGCUUUGUAUUAAUGGGUGCAUGGACUGGUGGUGGUGCGGCUGUCAGGCUCUUCUAUUAUGUUGCUUGCAAAUCAGCUAUUAAGUUUGAAGAUGUACACAUUUUGUGAUUAGUCUCUUGUGAUUAAGAGAAAAUUAUGGUGAUUUGCCACUGACACUUUAACAGAAAAUUAUGGAGGGGAUUCUUUUGCAGUACCAGUGACAUGAGAAACUUCAGUUGGUUCAUGAGAUGGAGCUGCCUGACUCCCUUCUGCUGGGCUGGUUUUGACCCUGAACCUGUUGUUUCUCUGAAAAAUGUGUCAUUUUAUUUUUAGAAUGAGGGGUUGCCAUAUUUGCUUGUUAUGCCGAUGUGGACAAGCUUGUCCUGUUUUAUGCACAGGAAUUAUUGGUUUAUAUACUAAGAGCAAAAUUAAAAUAUUUUCUACAAUUAUAUAUACAUAGAGAGGCUCGAUUUAUGGGCACAAACGUCCUAAUAGGUCAAUUUAAUCUCUUUUUGGGUUAAGCAAGAACUUUGUAUUGAUGGGUGCAUGGACUGGUGGUGGUGCAGCCGUCAGCUCGCUCUGAACUCUGAGGUGGUUUGUUUUUUUUUCUCAGGCGCUUGCAACACUACAUCAUUUCCAGAACGCCUUCACCAAAAUUCACUGCAUGCAAUCAGGCGCAAGGGUUGUGUUAGUGAUAUGCCCUAGGGGCAAUCAUAGAGAUGAUUGUAUUACAUACUAUGUUUACAUAUUUAUCCAACUUUGUUCCUUGAAAUAGAUAACUCAUUAUUAGUUAAUGAAUAUGUGAUUCUUUCAUGAGACUCUUUAUGUUGUUUGUUACUAUUUCUAAAAGAUCCCUGAUCAAACAUCAUAUAUGGAACAAAUAUGGUUAAAUGAUCAGCACAUAUAUUAAUUGAUGAUCAUGUCUCAUAGAUCAUAGUAUCUUUACUACUUAAAAAAUACGUGGUGGUGUUGGUGAGUCCUGUAUAAUCCAAGGGCCGAUAUUCCUCGCAGGAUCCUCCCACAGAUCGAAGGGAUCAAAUAACCUCCUGCUGUCCCGCACCACCCCCACCUCCGUAUCGCACUGUCCUCACACUGCCCCCUCCAUCGCACGCCCCCGUCACUCCUCCUUCGUACCGCCUUCGCCGCUUUCCCAGCGCCGCCGUCGCGCCCUCGGCGGCUCCUCCGCCGCGCUGCCGCCACAUCAGUCGCGACCCCGGCAGCUCCUCCGCCGCACUGCCGCCACCUCGGUCGUGAACCCCGGCGCCUCAUCCGCCGCGCUGCUGCCACCUCCGUCGUGAACCCCGGCGCCUACUCCAUUGCCUCAUAGCCCCUCUCCUCCUCCAACCCUACGGCUUUCUCCUCCGUCCGGUGCACCGCCUCUUCCAUCCCCAUAUCCUAUUCCUACUUCAUCUCUCCCUACCGCUGUCACUGCUCAAACCCUAAGAUCCGAAGGGAGGGAAGAGAACCUAAGAUCGGAAGGGGAGGGAAGAGAAGAGCGCAUAGGCGGUGGCAACGGCAACCUCAGCAGGCAUGCUGUCGACUUCCAUCAUCCCUGUCAUCCUCCAGGAUCCAAACAUAUGUUGAUGAAACCGGCAUCACAGGCCAAGCCCAAGGCAACAGUGGGGUUUGAACUUCGAAGACGAUUUAAUCCCUGUCUUUGGUGAAAACACAAAUCAUCAUGAUUCACCAUGGUAUUAGGAGACGAACAACUACAGGGGAAUAUCUCAUGCUUUUAUGGAACCAGCUAAUGUGAGAGUAUCAAGGGGAGUCUUGGCCGAAUCCGUUGCUCAUGGCUGGUAGGAGUGAGGAGUACAUAGGAUUCCACACUACGAGGUGCCUCCGAAACUCCGUCCGCUUGAGAACCUGCACGGGUAGGCGGGCGAUCAAGUUUUUGAGUAGCGCUUCAAGCGCGACUACUCUGCAUCAUCUUCACCAACAUGUCGACAACCGGCGACAACAACAACACUAGAGACAAGGAGGAGCCUCCCGUCAACACCAACGGAGGCAAUACUGUCUCAAACUCCAGCGGAGGGCCAUUUUCGGGGUCUUUUUCGGUAGUUGGCUUUGCUGCAUCACUAAAACCACAUGCUUUCGAUGGUUCAAAUUAUAAAAGAUGGAAAGCACGUGCACUUUUGUGGUUGACGGCGAUGCAAUGUUUCUUUGCUUCACGAGGCAAACCGAGUGAACCGCCUCUCUCCCUGAGGAGGAGGCUAAGUUCGAGGCUGCGGAUUGCUUGUUCCGUGGAGCAUUGAUCAGUGUGCACGCCGACAGUAUUGUGGACGUUUAUAUGCACAUGCCUUCAGGGAAGGACAUGUGGGAUUCUCUUGAGGCCAAGUUCGGGGUUUCCGACGCCGACAGCGAGCUGUAUGUCAUGGAGCAGUUCUAUGACUACAACAUGGUCGAUGACCGUUCUGUAGUGGAACAUGCUCAUGAAAUUCAGAUGCUGGCAAAGGAACUUGAGAACAACAACUGCGAGUUGCCGGACAAGUUUGUGGCGGGUGGCAUUAUUGCCAAAUUGCCACCUUCUUGGUCAGACUUUGGUACUUCUCUAAAACACAAGAGGCAAGAGUUCAGCGUUACUGAUCUCAUUGGCUCUUUGGGUGUUGAG